AAAAACCCUACUCUCUGUCUUCACUCCCUCCUCUCCCGUAACCCCGUCUCCAUGUCUCAAUCGCUAACAAUCUGGCUUUCUCCGACGAGACACACGCUGGAAGUGUGUAUGUGGUUGGCGGCACUGCAACGUCGCGAGGACUCUCCGAUCGUCCCUACGACUGGUGACGCUGAAUCGUCUUUGUAUACCUUCUUCACGUUACCAUUGAAGUUGAAUCCUCUCUCUAUACGCCCUUCUUACCAUUGUUAUCAUUGAGAAGCGUUCGCUGUCGGGCGAUGCUCUGACAUCGAGGAUUGUUGAGAUUCUCAGCAACGUCGCCGAGCGAAGCUGAUUUCGACGGAGACGCUGCUGUGAACUGCAACUUUCAGUUUAGCAACGACAAUCUAAGCGCCGUUGUGUGAGGCAAGAGGCCGGUACGGUCAUUGUAGUAGUUUUAUGUUGUUCUUCAGUGGCAAUGUGAUGUUUGUAGUGUAGUAUUGUUGGUAUGUUGAAGGAAGCAGGCGGCGACUGGUGGCUGACUUGGCUUGGUGCGGUGGCUGGUGGUUAGCGAUAGUAGUAGUUUCAUGUGGUUGUGAUGGUUUUGUGGUGGGGAUGGGUAGUGUUUGUAGUCAAGUAUUGUGGUAGAAUUGGAUUGGGAUAGGGUUUAGUAAUGCGAUGGUGUGGUGGUGUGAUGUAUGUGGCGAUUGGGUGAUGGUAAUUUUUGAUCAAGAUUGGUGCUGGAUUGGG
rnacentral:lncRNA from 1 species